GCCAGUGGUGCUAACGGUUAAGCGCUUGGCUGCUAACCAAAAGGUUGGAGGUUAGAGUCCACCCUGAGGUG
rnacentral:tRNA from 1 species